UACGUAGGGGGCUAGCGUUGUCCGGAAUCAUUGGGCGUAAAGCGCGUGUAGGCGGUUCGGUAAGUCCGCUGUGAAAGUCGGGGGCUCAACCCUCGGAAGCCGGUGGAUACUGUCGAGCUAGAGUACGGAAGAGGCGAGUGGAAUUCCUGGUGUAGCGGUGAAAUGCGCAGAUAUCAGGAGGAACACCAAUUGCGAAGGCAGCUCGCUGGGACGUUACUGACGCUGAGACGCGAAAGCGUGGGGAGCGAACAGG
rnacentral:rRNA from 1 species